AUGUAGGUGGGUAUGUAUGUAUGUAUGUUAGUAGGUAUGUAUGUAUGUAGGUGGGUAUGUAGGUAUGUAUGUAUGUAUGUAGGUAGGUAGGUAUGUAGGUAGGUAUGUAUGUUGGUAGGUAAGUAGGUAUGUAUGUAUGUAUGUAUGUAUGUAAGUAAGUGGGUAUGUAUGUAAGUAGGUAGGUAU